GAGUUUGAUCCUGGCUCAGGACGAACGCUGGCGGCGUGCUUAACACAUGCAAGUCGAACGGUGAUGCGGAGCUUGCUCCGCGGAUCAGUGGCGAACGGGUGAGUAACACGUGAGUAACCUGCCCUUGACUCCGGGAUAAGCGUUGGAAACGACGUCUAAUACUGGAUAUGACUUCGGACGGCAUCGUUCGGGGUGGAAAGAGUUUCGGUCGAGGAUGGACUCGCGGCCUAUCAGCUUGUUGGUGAGGUAAUGGCUCACCAAGGCGACGACGGGUAGCCGGCCUGAGAGGGUGACCGGCCACACUGGGACUGAGACACGGCCCAGACUCCUACGGGAGGCAGCAGUGGGGAAUAUUGCACAAUGGGCGCAAGCCUGAUGCAGCAACGCCGCGUGAGGGAUGACGGCCUUCGGGUUGUAAACCUCUUUUGGCAGGGAAGAAGCGAAAGUGACG
rnacentral:rRNA from 1 species